AUUGUAUCAGGAUAUCUAUCAAUGUGUGAUGUCACAGCCUCAUUAGUAUAAUUAACGAGAAACACUGAUAAAAUGGUGAUGCUUGACAGACAAACAUUCAAAAUCAUUACGGUCGCCUUAGACUCGAUGUCUACAAAGUGUUAUAGUAAUUAAAUAAAUAAAAAAUAUAUCUAUUCUCUUGAUUAUCUAAUCUGACACGCGAAUAUUUCGUUAACAUAUAUUUUUUUUAUUUCCUUAUUUAAAAUUGUGGCAGUGUUAUAAAUAUUUGCAGGUCUGGGUAAAAAUGGCAACACCGACAGCACAAAAUUACAUAAUUUAAAAUAAACGAGAAUAAGAGUUAGCGGAACAAGGAUAAACAGAGCGAACAUAGAACAAAGGCAAGAAAAUGGAAAACAACUGUCAAGCCAGUUGGGGAUUAUAAUUUUUGCUUUCCGGACGUCGCUCGAGAUCAGCACGCAUUGCAAAAUGUACAAAUGGACUUAUCAAUGCUAAAGAUUGGCUUGCAAUUUAUAUUAAAUAUGGCAAACCCACAUUCAGAAAAUGGUGUGUGCAUGAAAAAGAUUAAAUUU